rnacentral:rRNA from 1 species
UGGGGGAUAUUGCACAAUGGGCGAAAGCCUGAUGCAGCGACGCCGCGUGGGGGAUGAAGGCUUUCGGGUUGUAAACCUCUUUCGCUAUCGAACAAGGCCCGCUUAGGGUGGGUUGAGGGUAGGUGGAGAAGAAGCGCCGGCUAACUACGUGCCAGCAGCCGCGGUAAUACGUAGGGCGCGAGCGUUGUCCGGAAUUAUUGGGCGUAAAGGGCUUGUAGGCGGCUUGUUGCGCCUGCUGUGAAAACGCGGGGCUUAACUUCGCGCGUGCAGUGGGUACGGGCAGGCUUGAGUGUGGUAGGGGUGACUGGAAUUCCAGGUGUAGCGGUGGAAUGCGCAGAGAUCUGGAGGAAUACCGGUGGCGAAGGCGGCCCCCUGGACGAAGACUGACGCUCAGGUGCGAAAGCGUGGGGAGCAAACAGG